CCUACGUGAGGUAGCAGUGGGGAAUAUUGGGCAAUGGGCGCAAGCCUGCCCCAGCAACGCCGCGUGAAGGAAGAAGGCCCUCGGGUUGUAAACUUCUUUUGUCAGGGACGAAACAAAUGACGGUACCUGACGAAUAAGCCACGGCUAACUACGUGCCAGCAGCCGCGGUAAUACGUAGGUGGCAAGCGUUAUCCGGAUUUACUGGGUGUAAAGUGCGUGUAGGCGGGAGAGCAAGUCCGAUGUGAAAUUCCAGGGCUCAACACUGGAACUGUAUUUGAAACUGUUUUUCUUGAGUGAUGGAGAGGCAGGCGGAAUUCCGUGUGUAGCGGUGAAAUGCGUAGAUAUACGGAGGAACACCAGUGGCGAAGGCGGCCUGCUGGACAUUAACUGACGCUGAGGCGCGAAAGCGUGGGGAGCAAACAGGAUUAGAUACCCUUGUAGUC
rnacentral:rRNA from 1 species